GCCCGGGUGGUGAAAUUGGUAGACACGCUAUCUUGAGGGGGUAGUGGCGAGAGCCGUGCCGGUUCGAGUCCGGCCCCGGGCA
rnacentral:tRNA from 1 species